GCAGUGAUCAGUCUCAACCUUCAAUACAAAAUCGUUUGCUUUCUCGUCAAAGAAGUCAUCUAACAAAGAAGUUGGUCUUUGAAUCAUUUCAAACAGAACUGAAAACGCUGCAAUGGACAAAAGAAAAUUUUGCUUUGUGUUUGUGAUGGUCCUUGUUAUUGCAAUGGCCGCUUCUAAUCCGCCUCCGUCUAAUCUUCAGAGACGAUUUGGGAAAAGGAAUUCUAAGGUUAUCACUGAGAGGAGAGAGUUGUGUGCAAGGGCAAGGAGUGUGUGCGGCCCUGAAAACGAUUACAUCGAUCAAACCGAUCCGGUCGACCUUGCCAGUGAAAAAAUUUGAUAACGAAAAACCACCUUGACUUUCAUCUUACCUCGUACCCAGGACACCAACGGCCAGGCAUGAGUGUGCAUGAGCUAGGGGCUAAAUUAAUUCUUGAGUUAAACUGUCGUUCCAAAUAAAAUAAGAUAUUUGGAGAUAAAAUGAAAUAUAAAUGAAAUAUAAAUGAAACAUGA